GACGUAGGGCGCAAGCGUUGUCCGGAUUUAUUGGGCGUAAAGAGCUUGUAGGCGGUUUGUCGCGUCUGCUGUGAAAAUCUGGGGCUCAACCCCGGACUUGCAGUGGGUACGGGCAGGCUAGAGUGUGGUAGGGGAGACUGGAAUUCCUGGUGUAGCGGUGGAAUGCGCAGAUAUCAGGAGGAACACCGAUGGCGAAGGCAGGUCUCUGGGCCACUACUGACGCUGAGAAGCGAAAGCAUGGGGAGCGAACAGG
rnacentral:rRNA from 1 species